rnacentral:miRNA from 1 species
UGAGGCAGGAGAAUUGCUUGAACCCAGGAGGUGGAGGUUGCAGUGAGCCGAGAUCGUGCCACUGCACUCCAGCCUGGGUGACAAAACAAGACUCCAUCUC